rnacentral:rRNA from 1 species
AUACGGAGGGUGCAAGCGUUAUCCGGAAUCAUUGGGUUUAAAGGGUCCGUAGGCGGACUAUUAAGUCAGAGGUGAAAUCCCACAGCUCAACUGUGGAACUGCCUUUGAUACUGGUAGUCUUGAGUUAUAUGGAAGUAGAUAGAAUGUGUAGUGUAGCGGUGAAAUGCAUAGAUAUUACACAGAAUACCGAUUGCGAAGGCAGUCUACUACGUAUAUACUGACGCUAAGGGACGAAAGCGUGGGGAGCGAACAGAAUUAGAUACCCCGGUAGUCC